AGAAAGUACAUGAUUUCUACCGUAAAUGAUACAUGGUUGAGGUUGUGCUCUAACCAUGUAGAAUCGCUAUCAAGAGAUUUUGAAUGUACAAUUCAUGAUCCCUGGGGCUGUUAAUGACGCUCGU